UUGUAUCGAAUUGAUCCAAAUGGUUUCGGCUCUCAACCACAACAUGGAACUUGCCCUAUUUUGCGCCACAAUCAUCGUUUCAUCAAUUGUUGAUUGAACUAAUAGCCCCAUUGCUUGAUUUACUCGCUUUGCCCUCGAACACGUCAUCGGUCCCCCUUCGAUAAUCAACGGGUCUCGUCCUGAGCUUGUCUUCGUUGGGCUCGGCUCUUGAAUCACAUCAUAAUUACAAAAAGAGAAUUAUACUAUCACGUUCUUGAUAAAAGAGAAUUAUGCUAUCACGUUCUUGAAAAAAGAGAAUUGUACUAUCACAUUCUUAUAACAUGUUUAAAUGCAGGAGAUGAGUUGGAGAAGCUUGCUUUAGGAGUCAGCUUUUCUUCUGCCAAACUUUUUGAGGUUGGUGGAGGAAUCAUGGGAAAUUUAAUAGCCACGCGCUAAGACGAUUGUUUCUCCAAUCUUCUUCCUUUUAGGCACAUUGAUUUUCAGACUAUGAGAUCACCUCAAGGACUCCUUUGACAUCCAAGGGUCAUUGACUGACCAUAAAACCCUGUUCAUCUGGCUUUGUGAAAUUUCAGAAGGACGCAAGGCUUUGCUGAGGAUAUUAAAUAUAGAGAAUAGUACAAGUUAAUGAUUUAUUGUAUUUGAAGUGUGUAUCUUGGUAUUUGUGAUAGGAAUUGGUAGCUGCUGGAGUUAUGUAUUUUUCUUUUGAGUAUUCAAUUCUGGAAAAGUAAUAUUAUUGCACAUCUGAAUAUUUUAAGAACAUGGCUUAA